GGAGAGAUGUCCGAGUGGUUUAAGGAGCACGCCUGGAAAGUGUGUAUACGCUAACCGCGUAUCGAGGGUUCGAAUCCCUCUCUCUCCGCCA
rnacentral:tRNA from 1 species